rnacentral:lncRNA from 10 species
GUGAGAAAGUGGAGUUCGAAGAUGUCAUCAGCCCAGGUCACACAGAUGGUGGAGACCAGUGUGGAGCCCGGGAGUGGGCUGAGCAGAGCAUCUGGACUUUGAGCUUCCAUCAGACCCUGAGAUAGUCACCUGUCCUGGCUGCCUGGUGACCCUGGUGUGCUAACGUGGCACUUAUCUUGCUCUAUGGAGGCCCCUGGGCCCCCUAAACACCAGGCUAGAUCUAGAAAAUGCCACGCAUUUCUGCCUUGCUCUCCUGCGACAUCCACUCUUAGAACCCAGUUGCUGUGCUAAAAAGAACUCACAGACCACGUGGAGUGGAGCAGAUGGGUCAGUGUCCCAGGUGGCAGCCCGUGUCGGCCUCAGACCUGCACGUGAGGAUGCCCACCAGAGGGUUCCUGCCACCACCGUCAAGUCACCCCAGCCUUAAUCUUCCAGCCGGCGCCUCAGGCAUUAUGGGCAGAGGUAAACUGUCUCCAUGAUGCCCUUUCCAAAUUUCUGACCCACAGAAUCCAUGGCUAUAAUAAAAUGGCUGUCUUAUGUGCUCAAUUUUGGGGUGGUUUGUAGCAUAGCAGUAUAACUAGAACAUCUAGCUCGUGAGAGAACCAGCAAAGAAAGCAAAAAUCACCCCAGCCUAUAAAGGGCCCUGAGGGUGGUGGGACCCAUGGGUGACAGGAAACCAAUCCCUGCACCCCAAGAGGUGGCAGGGCCUCCAAC